GGUUAAGCGACUAAGCGUACACGGUGGAUGCCCUGGCAGUCAGAGGCGAUGAAGGGCGUGCUAAUCUGCGAUAAGCGCCGGUAAGGUGAUAUGAACCGUUAUAACCGGCGAUACCCGAAUGGGGAAACCCAGUGUGACUCGUCACACUAUCAUUAACUGAAUCCAUAGGUUAAUGAGGCGAACCGGGGGAACUGAAACAUCUAAGUACCCGAGGAAAGAAAUCAACCGAGAUUCCCCCAGUAGCGGCGAGCGAACGGGGAGGAGCCCAGAGCCUGAAUCAGCAUGUGUGUUAGUGGAAGCGUCUGGAAAGGCGCGCGAUACAGGGUGACAGCCCCGUACACAAAAGCGCAUGUGACUGUGAGCUCGAUGAGUAGGGCGGGACACGUGGUAUCCUGUCUGAAUAUGGGGGGACCAUCCUCCAAGGCUAAAUACUCCUGACUGACCGAUAGUGAACCAGUACCGUGAGGGAAAGGCGAAAAAGAACCCCCGGCGAGGGGAGUGAAAAAGAACCUGAAACCGUGUACGUACAAGCAGUGGGAGCCCCACCACCAAAGCAUUCUCUGGUGUUGAAGGCCCUGCAAAGCAGCAUCGCGGUGGCGGAGCGUCGUUUGCGACGCCCAACACACAAAACAAGCGGUGAGUGCUUUGGGGUGGGGUGACUGCGUACCUUUUGUAUAAUGGGUCAGCGACUUAUAUUCUGUAGCAAGGUUAACCGAAUAGGGGAGCCGGAGGGAAACCGAGUCUUAAUUGGGCGUUAAGUUGCAGGGUAUAGACCCGAAACCCGGUGAUCUAGCCAUGGGCAGGUUGAAGGUUGGGUAACACUAACUGGAGGACCGAACCGACUAAUGUUGAAAAAUUAGCGGAUGACCUGUGGCUGGGGGUGAAAGGCCAAUCAAACCGGGAGAUAGCUGGUUCUCCCCGAAAGCUAUUUAGGUAGCGCCUCGUGAAUUCAUCUCCGGGGGUAGAGCACUGUUUCGGCUAGGGGGCCAUCCCGGCUUACCAACCCGAUGCAAACUGCGAAUACCGGAGAAUGUUAUCACGGGAGACACACGGCGGGUGCUAACGUCCGUCGUGAAGAGGGAAACAACCCAGACCGCCAGCUAAGGUCCCAAAGUCAUGGUUAAGUGGGAAACGAUGUGGGAAGGCCCAGACAGCCAGGAUGUUGGC
rnacentral:rRNA from 1 species